CACCGCGGUUAUACGAGAGGCCCAAGUUGAUAGACACCGGUGUAAAGGUGGUUAAUGAAAAUAUACACUAAGGUUAAACAUCUUCAAUACUGUUAUACGUAACCGAAGACAGGAAAGACUACCACGAAAGUGACCUUAAUAAACAUGAAGCCACGAAAGCCAGGAGA
rnacentral:rRNA from 1 species